GACCCUAUAGCUUAGUAGGUAGAGCUGCGGACUCUUAAUCCGUAGACCAGGGUUCGAAUCCCUGUGGGGUCA
rnacentral:tRNA from 1 species